CCUACGGGUGGCAGCAGUGGGGAAUAUUGCACAAUGGGGGAAACCCUGAUGCAGCGACGCCGCGUGAGUGAUGAAGUAUUUCGGUACGUAAAGCUCUAUCAGCAGGGAAGAAAAUGACGGUACCUGACUAAGAAGCCCCGUCUAACUACGUUCCAGCAGCCGCGGUAAUACGUAGGGGGCAAGCGUUAUCCGGAUUUACUGGGUGUAAAGGGAGCGUAGACGGCGGUGCAAGCCAGGUGUGAAAGCCCGGGGCUCAACCCCGGGACUGCAUUUGGAACUGUAUAGCUGGAGUGCAGGAGGGGUAGGCGGAAUUGCUAGUGUAGCGGUGAAAUGCGUAGAUAUUAGGAGGAACACCAGUGGCGAAGGCGGCCUGCUGGACGAUAACUGACGUUGAGGCUCGAAAGCGUGGGGAGCAAACAGGAUUAGAUACCCCUGUAGUC
rnacentral:rRNA from 1 species